AAUGGUUUCUCACCAUUUGUGCAGAGUUCAGAGCCUCCAUGGGUUUGUGUGUUUCAUGGCUGAGUCUACGCUUGGUAGCAGUAGGUUCAAUGGAUCUGAUUUCUGGGCAGUAUGAAGGGGUAGACCCUAUCUUUUAUUUCUCUGGCAGAUUGAGCUCCCUCCCUGCCCAUGUGUGACUAAUAUGGGAACUCUGGGUCCUAAGGCUAGCAGUCUAAUCCCAUAAUAUAGCCAACUAACCACUCAUUCAUUCUAAAAACCUUGAAACAUUGAAAGAGCACCUAUGAAUGCUAGGGACAGUUCUAAACACUAGGGAGAGAGAGUGAAAAAACCGGCAAAAGAGGACCUGCCCUCACAGAAAUUCCAUUUUAGAGUGUGUGUGUAUGUGUGGGUGGGUAACACUAGGAACAAAGUAAAUGAGUAAAUUUAUUUUAUUUGGUGUGAUAAAAGAAGAGAAUGCUAUGAAGAAAUAAAUUAGUGAAGGAGAUGAGGAAAAUAAGGACGAGAGAGAUUAAAUGUUCUACUGGGAUUAAAAAAGAAGAUUAUGAAAGUCUCCCAUAUCUGAGACCAUGUCCCUCAAUGUUUUCUGGUUCAUUCUUCCGUCUAAAGUGCAAUAGGAAAAAGGAAUUUCCUCAAUUAUAACAUGUUGCUGGUAUUAUGGAGCCAUUUUUCAGUGUAACCUGCAUGUUGGGGAUACAGUUUUUAUUUUCAGUGAGAUCGUUUCUUCUGAGAGCACACCUACUCCUGCUUCCCGCCAAGCUGGCCACACUGUCAGACAUCGCCUAGUGGAAUAUUGGAGUGGAUAGCAGUGUAUGACCUCUUUGACUUUCUGCUCCGUGGCCCGACACCUCCACGAUUCGGCUGUGUGCCAGGCUCCAGGAUCACUCCCUCACACAUCUUGGGAAUCCAACCCAGAUGGCAACACGAUGUUCCACGAUAAAACUGACACAAAAAACAAUGCAAAAUUUGUCUAAGAGAGGUUCAGCAAGCAUGAGAAAAACAUCUGAUAUCUCUCAGAGCCCGCCAAGUUCGCAGCUUACAGUGCCAGAGUAAUUAUGGGAUGAUUUGAACAGAGGCAAUGCAUGGGGAAGCCACUUCCAAAUGUAUCAGAAAAUGGAAAUAUGGGAGUACUAGUCACCAAGUACAACUAUUGUGAGGAUCCAGUCAAUUGACAGAGGCAAAAGACUGUUGUAAGUUGUAAAGAAUGGCACAACCAUUAAACAUUAAUAUGGUAUCAAGGAC